rnacentral:tRNA from 1 species
GCCCUCGUAGCUCAGGGGAUAGAGCACAGGAUUCCUAAUCCUGGUGUCGCACGUUCGAUUCGUGCCGGGGGCACCA